rnacentral:rRNA from 1 species
UAGUACGGCGAGUGAGCGGGAUGAGCUCAAAUUUAAAAUCUGGCUGGUUUACUAGUCCGAAUUGUAGUUUAUAGAAGCGUUUUCGGUGGCAGCCUGGGUAUAAAUCCUUUGGAAUAGGGUAUCAUAGAGGGUGAGAAUCCCGUCUUUGACUCAGUGCAUGCUACUAUGUGAUACGUUUUCAAAGAGUCGAGUUGUUUGGGAAUGCAGCUCAAAAUGGGUGGUAAAUUUCAUCUAAAGCUAAAUAUUGGCGAGAGACCGAUAGCGAACAAGUACCGUGAGGGAAAGAUGAAAAGAACUUUGAAAAGAGAGUUAAACAGUGCGUGAAAUUGUUGAAAGGGAAACGUUUGACACCAGUUAUGCGGGUGGAAAAUCAGUCUUUUGCAAUGGGGAGUUGUGGGCGUUCAGACCGCAAGGCUGGCGUUUGCUUCAUCUUUGUUGUAAGUGAUGCACUUUUUCAUUUGCAGGUCAACAUCAGUUUGCUUUGCUGGACAAAACCCCAAGGGAAGGUGGCAGCUUAGGCUGUGUUAUAGCCCUGGGGCGAUACAGUGGAGUGGACUGAGGUUUCGCAGUGUGUGCUCUCGGGCAAGGCUGACUGGGUGCUAUGGGAUCGUUCGGCGUACAAUGCAUGCAUUUUGCGUCGUGUCUUUUUCAUACUCGCUCAACUCGGCUCUUCCACACUUAGGAUGUUGACUUAAUGGUUUUAAACGACCCGUCUUGAAACACGGACC